rnacentral:lncRNA from 1 species
UCACUAAUAUCCAGCAACAUAAAAGUAGUUCAUCCACAAUGAUUGAAAUCCAAAGAAGAAGUAGAAAAUAACAAAUCUAUGCUUGACUUCACGUUGGAAUUCUCUCAAAGUGUAAACCCUAGUUCUCUGUUAUGAAAAACACGUAAAAACUAAAGAUAACCGCGUCUGGGGCCAACCAUAAUCGUUUUAAACCAACCCAAAC